rnacentral:rRNA from 1 species
UCAGAUUGAACGCUGGCGGCAGGCUUAACACAUGCAAGUCGAGCGGGGAAGGUUGCUUCGGUAACUGACCUAGCGGCGGACGGGUGAGUAAUGCUUAGGAAUCUGCCUAUUAGUGGGGGACAACGUUCCGAAAGGAACGCUAAUACCGCAUACGCCCUACGGGGGAAAGCAGGGGAUCUUCGGACCUUGCGCUAAUAGAUGAGCCUAAGUCGGAUUAGCUAGUUGGUGGGGUAAAGGCCUACCAAGGCGACGAUCUGUAGCGGGUCUGAGAGGAUGAUCCGCCACACUGGGACUGAGACACGGCCCAGACUCCUACGGGAGGCAGCGGUGGGGAAUAUUGGACGAUGGGCGGAACCCUGAUCCAGCCAUGCCGCGUGUGUGAAAGAAGGCCUUUUGGUUGUAAAGCACUUUAAGCGAGGAGGAGGCUCCUUUAGUUAAUACCUAAAGAGAGUGGACGUUACUCGCAGAAUAAGCACCGGCUAACUCUGUGCCAGCAGCCGCGGUAAUACAGAGGGUGCGAGCGUUAAUCGGAUUUACUGGGCGUAAAGCGUGCGUAGGCGGCUUUUUAAGUCGGAUGUGAAAUCCCUGAGCUUAACUUAGGAAUUGCAUUCGAUACUGGAAAGCUAGAGUAUGGGAGAGGAUGGUAGAAUUCCAGGUGUAGCGGUGAAAUGCGUAGAGAUCUGGAGGAAUACCGAUGGCGAAGGGAGCCAUCUGGCCUAAUACUGACGCUGAGGUACGAAAGCAUGGGAGCAAACGGGAUUAGAUACCCUGGUAGUCCAUGCCGUAAACGAUGUCUACUAGCCGUUGGGGCCUUUGAGGCUUUAGUGGCGCAGCUAACGCGAUAAGUAGACCGCCUGGGGAGUACGGUCGCAAGACUAAAACUCAAAUGAAUUCGACGGGGGCCCGCACAAGCGGUGGAGCAUGUGGUUUAAUUCGAUGCAACGCGAAGAACCUUACCUGGCCUUGACAUACUAAGAAACUUUUCCAGAGAUGGAUUUGGUGCCCUUUCGGGAACUUUAGAUACAGGUGCUGCAUGGCUUGUCGUCAGCUCGUGUCGUGAGAUGUUGGGUUAAGUCCCGCAACGAGCGCAACCCUUUUUCCUUAUUUUGCCAGCGGGU